UACAGAGGGGGCAAGCGUUAUUCGGAAUUAUUGGGCGUAAAGGGCGCGUAGGCGGCUUGGCAAGUGGAAGGUGAAAUCCCUCGGCUUAACCGAGGAACUGCCUUCCAGACUGCUUUGCUUGAGGCCGGGAGAGGCGAGUGGAAUUCCCAGUGUAGCGGUGAAAUGCGUAGAUAUUGGGAGGAACACCAGUGGCGAAGGCGGCUUCCUGGACCGACACUGACGCUGAGGCGCGAAAGCUAGGGGAGCAAACGGG
rnacentral:rRNA from 1 species